AUAAAGGUGGCAGAAUAUAUGCAUUGGGCUUAGGACUCAAAUAUAAAGAUUAAAAUUCUUUCUUUUAUAAUGUACCUAU
rnacentral:tRNA from 2 species